GUAGUCUGCAAUAUAUGUGAGAAAUACAAACUUUAAUUCUUUUCAAAAGAGAAAAAUAACUACAAAAUAUUUGAACUUGAGUAACAUUUUUCUGUAGUAAGUUGGGUUUUCCUGGCAUUACUUGUACAAUGCCAUGUCUAUGGAAAUGUCAAAUUUGCAAUUUAUUUGCAUCAUUUCAAGAUGCAAUGCUAGAAGCACUUAGAGAGGCCACAUACUCAGCAAAAACUUAGUGCAGAAAGAAACUCAAAUGUUAUCAGCUCUGAAGCUGGACAUAGUGGCUUUAUCAAUGUGUGUCUGCCAUACAGCUCUUGAUCAAGCCUGUGGAGUUUGCAUCCUCACUAUGAGGAAUUUUCUAGCACUAACACUUUUUACCAAAUAGGCAGGGCUUCCAGUAAAGGUGGCACUGCAUCAGCCCAUGGUGUCUAAGAUGCGGGAAAAAAUCAUCUUUCUGUUACAUUCCUUUUGUUCUUCAAGUGCUAUAACCAGUUAAUUUUGCUAGAUUUACAUCAAAUGCAUCUUUCUACAAAAACACAGUAACUGUUCUGAACAUGGUAUGUGCUGUACACUUUGAGAAGAUUUCAUGAGCAACAGUAGUUUCUUGUGGCCUCUGCAGUGUAUUUUUGUGCUGGUGUAAUUCCAGGGAGCCAAAGGUUCUCUCUCUGUUGUCAGAGCUGAAGAAAACGCAGUAUUAGAAACUUAUAAUCUUCUCUUGGGGGCUAAUUUUAAUGAAAUAUUAAUAGAGAAGAAAAUAGCUGCUAAAUAGAAGUAAAUGUUAAUUUAUUAACAUGGGGAAUGUAGCAGGGAGAAUUGAUAAAAUACAUUUUGUGUGAGUUUUACUACGUACACCAAUUUCCACAUAAAUAAACAUCAUUGGGAUGUACUUCCAAAUCUUGAUGAAUUUUUUUGAUCUGCAUGCCACAGUAUACUGCCAGAGACCUGAAGAGCUAUAGAUCAAGCUUCAUGAGCUCUAAGCGAGCUGAAAGCUUCUGUGUGUUAGUAUUAGCUUUGGUUAAGAUAUUUAUUGGAGUUGCUGUUUGGUUAAACUUUCAGGUCUGUAUAUAUUAAUUUUCCAAAUUAGUAAUUUAUAAAAGUAAGUGGAAUAUGGAUUACAUAGGUGCAUUUGGGAAUCUCUGCUAAUAAAAGGUAUAAAAUACCUUUUCUUGUCUAUGUAAUUGUGAGGUUUGCCAGGACAGGGGGCACAAAACAAGGCCUGCUACCUUUUUUAAACUGUUUUUUUCAGUGUACGUGAGUUUUCUACAUGGUUAUUUUAUUCUCCAAAAUUUAUCUGUGCAAGAAUUAGUCAAACCAGUGACUCUUGCUACUUUCCUCUGCUGCAUUGUUGCACACGUGAUAUUUACUGCACAUGAGGCUUCUUUUACAUUCUGCAGAACCCUGCCACAUUUUUCUGUUCUCUUUCAAAGCAGGAGUUCACAUCUAAAUGUUUUCUCACUCUGGUGAUGGAAAAGGUCUGUUAGAGUAUGCUGUAAUAACUCUGCAGAAGGGUUAAAACCCAGGGGAACAGGAAGCAAGCAUUUGAAAAGAUUGAAAGGUAUUUGUAUUUUAAUAGAAGUGAUGAGUACUUUACUUUUCCUUGGGCAUGAAUGCUGUUUGCCUUACAAAUGAGAAUUCAGUUUCUCAAAUCGAAGAUAAUUUAAACAGUUGUGAAUGUAUGAAUGAAACAAAACUUAGAGAUUGUGAAAGUAACGCAAAUAAAUUAACAAUUUUUUUCUUUUUAAAAGUUGAAGUAAAUUGGGUUCAGGGGAUUUGAAAGUGAUAUGGAAUAAAAAAACCUAGGCAUUUAACUGCCCUCACAACCCUGCUUAUAACACAAGUGUUUCAGCAACUACAUUUUUUCCUUGAAUUCAAAGCUUUGUUUGAAUGUCAGUGUUACAUACACUGGAACACAAGAGGUUUGGGUUUUGCAAGUAAAGCUCUUCUAUGUGUGUUUUCCUGCAUGUGGCUGUUCAGGAGCACAGGUGACAAGCCUUGGGCGGUUACCUCUCUUGGGAUGCCAUGUCACAGUUUGUCCUUUUGUGACCUAAAAUUGGGCUUGCAGCCUGGGUGUGCCAGCCACAGGCAGUUCCUUCAGUGGGUAGCUCAUAUCUUACACUCUGUAGGGGACUCCCUUCUGCAGUCUAGUGACAGCAGACAUCAUCAGUGACAGAGAGUAUUUGACUCCCUGGAUGUUUUGAGACUGUGCUAGUGCUGCGAUACAUCAGGAACAAAACGGCUGUGGAUAUUCACUUUAUCCAGGCCAUCAUUCAACUGUUGCAACAAAUUAUACAUAGCUUGUUAUGCACACAACACAGACUUGUCCCUAUAAAUCACCAGCCCUCAAGUGCAGUCGGGUUCAAGUCCAUACCUGAGUCUGCGCAGCUCAAGGAAGUCUGGUUUUGUCUGACAGGCAGCAGAGACAUUGCAUGUUGACUAACCAGAUGACAAAUCUUAUGCCUGUAGUAACUGAGAUUGUAUUAAUUGUACUUAUGGUAGCUCUCUGCUGAAUGGACUCAGCCUGCCACAAAGCAGGGCGAUGUUGGUAGCUGGGCUCUGGUUAGAUCCCAUCCUUUCAGUAAGAGGGGAAAGCAUUCCUGGCUAAGGAGAGAGCUCAUGGCACAAAGCUGUGCACAGGGCUGAUGGGAGCUCAGGUGAUUGUAAUUCAGGUGGAAGUAUGGAAAAAUGAAAGAAGGAGGAAUGUAAACUGUGUGAAAUGUGAGUAUACUGGCUCAAUCGUAAUACUGUAAAUCGAAAUAUAAAUAUUUAAAAUCUUUUACUUAACCUCAUUGUGUAACCACAUCCAUGUGCAGUCAGAACAUGAAUGCAACUUCAUAUAAAUAGAGCACAUGAAAGUUAUGUAGAAAAGAAUCCACAUUUAGUCAGUUUGGUACAGUUUCUGGGUGAUGUGUCACUGUCUUCCACUGCAUUACCAGUAGCAUUGCAGUGUUCAGUGGUUCCAAAUGUGAACAUCCUGUAACAGAGGCACCUCUCAGCCACUUAGUUGUCUGGCCAGAUUGAAUUAAGAUGCUUUGAGCAGGGACUAUGAUCAGUAGUACUCUUCAGGUAAUGCAGAGUGUAGUUUGAAGAGUGAAGCAGAGAGCCCAACUCAAAACCAAGAGACAGCUCUUGGAGUGAAACUGCUGUCUAGGUUGAUAUUGCUGGCAUUGAAUAUUCAGUGUUUUGAAGAAGAGAUACCAGACGAAUGGGUGUGUUUUGUGUGCAUUAUGGUAUGCCAAGCUGAUACGCAGAACUGGUUUACUACAUGAUGUUUGUCUCGUGAUGGGAGGUGGAGCUUGAAAACAACAGUCAUUUAGUCCUGAGUUUCUUCACCGGUUACUUUUCCUUUAUUGCCUUUCUGCAUUUUAUUAUAGCUGCAGACAUGUACGUUCCUCUAAUAGAACAGAGGACAGUGACAUAUAUAUAACUGAAGUCCCUAUGCGAUUACCGGUGUAAUAAAAACAAGUGAUUCAGUAACUUUUUAUGAAAGCUGUAAAUAAUGAAAUUAAAGAUCUGCUGAAGGUGAUCAUUUUCCAUGAGAAGAUCUCAUGAUCUUGUGUACGUAUGUGGAAACUGCGAAGCUCUCAAGUCCUGCUUCUGGCCCUGGCAGUGACUGCUGUGGCGGUGAGCAAGUUAAAUCACUUCUCCCCCGGCUUCCAUGUUAAGUAGUUUCCUCUAUUAACUGGCCGAAUAGUUUGUUUCCUCUGGAGCACUUCAUCAGGGAGCUGCCAAACCUGACGUACAGUGGAUCCUGUCUUAUUCUUUGACUAGUCUCAUUGGGUGUGCUUGUUAUGAAGUAAUUAGACUUUGUUAUGAGUAAGCAGCAUCAGGCUAGAAACUUAAUAUCCUUCUGAGAUGAGUGCUGCUUAAAUAAUAACUAACCUUCUACUUUGUCUAUCCAGUCUAGUUUAAGUCCAGUAAGCUUUCAAAAUGAAACACUAUAUUGUAUGGCUCUAAUAAUGUCCUGUAAAUAGCUGCUGCUUCAUACUUCAUUUAGAGCUGCCUUAUACUUGAUGAAAAUACAUACGCUGACAUGACCUUUCCUUACUAAUGUACACUUUUUAAUUCAAAUAUCUUUCUUUUGCUGAUGAGCUCUUCCUAUUCUGUCUUGGCCUCAGCAUUAAUUCUCAUCUUGCAUAUUACUGUUCCUUUCAAAGCAAUUAUUGCUUACAUGCACUGCUGUACUUGCUGUACGAACAUUUUCAUUUGGGAUAUAAUAUAAAGUAAAAUAGAGCUGGAUAUUUCAAACUUCGUAUUAGCUAGACCUGCUUAGGGAAUCCUGUUUUGCUGCUUCUUCAAUUCUGUCUUCCUUUUGCUUCCUAUGUUUUAUCUAUGGAAGCUGCUGAGUAUGAAUACCCUUUGCUAACCUUGUGUCUUUUCCUAGUAUUUGGAAAAAUUUGAUAGGGUUAGGAGGUGGGUGAUGGUGUUCAGUAAGACUUGGGAGUGAGAGAACAUGAUCCUGUUUGUAGAAAUGCAGUCCGAAUUAUUUUAGAUGAGUAAGUCAGCUAUAGAAAUUCCAGUUGUCAACAUAGGUCCCUUGAGCUCUCUGUGCUACGUAGAGGCAUGGUGACGUGGUGAUAGAGCACAGGUAAAGCUGCCUAUAUCACCAUAAAGUUGUAUAAUUAUGGUGGUUUCAAAUGCAUCGGCUGUCCUUCCCCUUCCACCUCCUGUCAUUUCACCUGACACACUGCCUUGUACCAUGGGCUGGUUGUGCCAUUGCAGCUCUGUGAGCUGUGCAACUCUGCUGUGAGCCAGAGUGUACGCCGUCACAGAAAAGGAAAAAAGGAAAAAGAUCAGGCUUUUUUCAUCAGUGUCACAUCCUUGCUGGGUAUAACUAGUGGGGAAAGACAUGGCAGGGAUGAAGUGGUGAGGAACAGCAAUUGUUCAAAUAGAAGUACUGCUCUUGCUUUGAGUGUUAAGGAGAUGGUGUCAGAGCACACCAGCAAGUUAAAAGUCAUUGACUUACUGCCUGCUUAGAUGUUACUGUGCAUUGCUUCAGAUGAUUCCACUGUUUGUGUAUGCUUUAAACAAAGUGAAUGUGGUUAAUUUAAUGUCUAUUUGUGCUGUGGUUGGGACUGCUCUAGACAAUGUAAGGUCAGCGACCAGCUCUCUGCUAACAGAGAGCUAACAGCUCUCUGGUAACUUUUGAAGAGGCACAAGACAGAAAACAUUUUCAUUUCCAUGCACGAUCCUUGAGGAGCCACCAUGCUGUCUCCUCCUGGGAUGGGCUCUUCCUGACCCAGGUGGGUUUCUUUAGAAAUGAAAACGGGAAGAAGUGUGUCAGGGCAGGUCUUGGUGCAAUAGUUACCAAGGGGAGAUAAAGCAUAAGGAGGGUAGGGGCUUCCCCUGAGGCGUUCAGGCUGUGCUCAUGUAUCAGGCCCAUCGCUGCUCUUCUGCUCUGGGGGAGGCUUGCAGUACACCCCAGGAGGCACCGCAAGAAGGGAAGGGCAGGGGAGGUGUAUUUUGUGUGGAUUUCGACUUUCCCCUCAAGCUCUUUCUAAACAGAACAAGAGGAACAAAACCUUUCCCCCCAAAUGUUUCUUCAUAAAAGGUGUAAGAACAACCACAAACCCUUUAGUGUUAUGCAGAUAAUUCAGAGGGCACCUCAAACACAACCUUCAGUUGUUUGAAGUUAGUUUUUGUUGAAGUUGUAUGUGUGCCUCUAAAAUUUCCAGAUGCUUAGAUAUUUGCUUAACAAAAAAGCUUGUUUUCUUUGAGCUAAACUAAAUACCCAAGAUUUGAAAAGACUUCUUAGGCAAAAGAGCUACCUUCUCAUCCCGAAGACUAAUUAUUGAGGCUUUCUGUUUUCUCAGGAGUCUCAUUCUCUUAGAAUACAUAUUGCAUUUUCAGAGCACAUUUCCUCGCUUAGAAUUUCACUUGUUGGGAUUAGCUAUUGUAGUACUGUCACCUACCCCGCAGGGUUGCUCCUGCUUGGCUGCACAGGGGAGAAAAGGGAGAAAUUACUGCAGCUUGCUAAGAUACUUUGCCCUAACUAUGAUGCUUACAUUGUGAAGCAAUGGUCCACCUCAGUGCUGACCAUGGGACAGCAUGCAUUUGCUUUCUACUCCUGGAAUUCCAGGAUGAGAAAUGACCUGUAUUCAGAUGUAAAUAAAAUUGCUAAUUCAGCUACUCCAGGUCUAAGUUUUUCAAAUUUGUUUCUGGGUUUUUUUUGCUCUUGCAAGUCUUUAUGUUUUUUUAAGGAAGGAGGUGUUAUUCCUUACAAGAGGAAAGGAUUGAAGUUUCUUUUUAUUAGGUUAAGUAAAACUAGGACGUUGGUGCAUGUACAGGCUACUUUUGGGCCAGUGAGAAUGGCACCCACUACAUGGCCUUGAUUACGCAGCUAAGGGAAUAGAAGCACUCUGGUUUUUAAUUUCCACAAUUUAAGCACAGUAAAAUGCUGUCAAAUAAUGUCUAUCAAGAUCUUGUAAGUUUGUUGAGACCCUUUUCUUCUGCUUUUCUUCCUUGCUAAGCUGCUCAGUAUUCCAGCAUCCUCAAAACUUCUGCAUGCUGUGAAGUAACGAAGCAGAACAUUAAAUCUUUUAAAUCCUGUGAGUGCCAGCAAUCUACUGAGCAUUUCACAGCACUGUUGUCAGUGAAGAAUGCUUGUGUGUAUUCUCUACAUUGUAAUCCCCUGAGUGUGAAAUUAGAUCUGCUACCAGUUUCUUUUUCUCUUCUUUAAUUCUUUUUCAUAUCAAAUAUAAUAUGUACUUUAAUUGCCCUGUUUCUGGUUAUAUAAAGCAAGACAUUCCCCUUUUGAUAAGUAGAUUUCCAACUUUUUUUUUUUUAGUAGCACAGGUUAAUAGUACAAUUUAGAUGGAAUGGAUGAUUGUGUGAAGAAUUACAGACUUUUUUUUCCCCUUUGUUUUUACAUGUGACCUCCUUUUGACUAUUUACCAAUGUCAGUCCUAUACAUCUCCAUUUUUGUUUUUAAAAUCUGCUUUAAUAGCAUAUGGCCUUUUUGUGAUCAAAGUUGGGCUUAUUGAGCGCUUUCAAAACAAUACUUUGCUAAACAUAAAGAUAAUAUUGUAUUAACUUCAAGUUUCAGAAGCACAGCACUGACAGUCUUAAACAGUUCUUAUCCCUUACUGUGUUAUUUUUAUCACAAGUGUUAACUCAAAAGUCUUUUUCUUUUUUCCCCUCAGUUUAAAAAAGUCAGUAAACUUUUCUAUAUCUAUAUCUUCAGCUGUGAAAUGAGACCGAUGCUUACCUGGCACAUCAUGGAGUAAUGUGAAACUGGUUAGGGUUUGAGAUUUAGAAAGGGGCUGGGAGAGCACUGAAAAUGUGUGAAUUACUGAUGUUUAGUAGCUGGUACAGAUGUACAGUUAUCUGCAUGGAUGAAAAAUAUAUAGACGACUGUAAAGACACAAAUGAGAUUGAAUUGGAUUAGUUUGAAUAAAGGAAUCCUGUGGUA